UAAAGAGGCUCUGCAGCCGGCCCGGCAGCUCCAGCAGGAGGGCUCUGAGUCCCGUGGUGCUUUAAGCCGCCAGCUGAGAAUUGAGAAGGCUGAGGAAGUCCAGGCCUGAGAGAGGGCCCUGACCCAAGUCAAACUACUGUGGGCAUCAGGAAAACAUAACUAAGAGCAAUCCGAUUUAUGCACAGCCUGCGGUAGGGCCCCAUUACAACACAACCCCUGAUCCCUGUACUUCUGAACGCCUGAUAGAAGAUCAGCUUUACAACAGAGAAUGAAGACCUUUUUCCUUGGAGUCCCAGAACUCCAAGUCAAACAUUUACGAUAUGACAAAUAAAAGCUAUGUUCUAAUGCAA